CUGAGACAGGUGCUGCAUGGCGUGUCGUCAGCUCGUGUUGUGAAAUGUUGGGUUAAGUCCCGCAACGAGCGCAACCCUUAUCCUUUGUUGCCAGCACGUAAUGGUGGGAACUCAAAGGAGACUGCCGGUGAUAAACCGGAGGAAGGUGGGGAUGACGUCAAGUCAUCAUGGCCCUUACGAGUAGGGCUACACACGUGCUACAAUGGCGCAUACAAAGAGAAGCGACCUCGCGAGAGCAAGCGGACCUCAUAAAGUGCGUCGUAGUCCGGAUUGGAGUCUGCAACUCGACUCCAUGAAGUCGGAAUCGCUAGUAAUCGUAAAUCAGAAUGUUACGGUGAAUACGUUCCCGGGCCUUGUACACACCGCCCGUCACACCAUGGGAGUGGGUUGCAAAAGAAGUAGAUAGCUUAACCUUCGGGAGGGCGUUUACCACUUUGUGAUUCAUGACUGGGGUGAAGUCGUAACAAGGUAAGCGUAGUGCU
rnacentral:rRNA from 1 species